rnacentral:rRNA from 1 species
UACGUAGGUGGCAAGCGUUGUCCGGAUUUACUGGGCGUAAAGGGCGUGCAGGCGGUCUGUUAAGUGCAGGGUGAAAGCUCCCGGCUCAACUGGGAGAGGUCCUUGCAUACUGGGUGUCUCGAGUGGUGCAGGGGUCUGCGGAACUUCGGGUGGAGCGGUGAAAUGCGUAGAGAUCCGAAGGAACGCCGGUGGCGAAAGCGGCGGACUGGGCACCUUCUGACGCUGAGGCGCGAAAGCCAGGGGAGCAAACGGG